rnacentral:rRNA from 1 species
CUGGCUCAGGACGAACGCUGGCGGCGUGCCUAAUACAUGCAAGUCGAGCGGACGAAUGGGAGCUUGCUCCCKAUUCGUUAGCGGCGGACGGGUGAGUAACACGUGGGCAACCUGCCUGUAAGACUGGGAUAACUUCGGGAAACCGGAGCUAAUACCGGAUAAUCCUUUUCCCCKCCUGGGGAAAARCUGAAAGACGGUUUCGGCUGUCACUUACAGAUGGGCCCGCGGCGCAUUAGCUGGUUGGUGGGGUAACGGCCCACCAAGGCGACGAUGCGUAGCCGACCUGAGAGGGUGAUCGGCCACACUGGGACUGAGACACGGCCCAGACUCCUACGGGAGGCAGCAGUAGGGAAUCUUCCGCAAUGGACGAAAGUCUGACGGAGCAACGCCGCGUGAGUGAAGAAGGUUUUCGGAUCGUAAAACUCUGUUGUCAGGGAAGAACAAGUACCGGAGUCACUGCCGGUACCUUGACGGUACCUGACCAGAAAGCCACGGCUAACUACGUGCCAGCAGCCGCGGUAAUACGUAGGUGGCAAGCGUUGUCCGGAAUUAUUGGGCGUAAAGCGCGCGCAGGCGGUUUCUUAGUCUGAUGUGAAGCCCACGGCUCAACCGUGGAGGGUCAUUGGAAACUGGGAAACUUGAGUGCAGAAGAGGAGAGCGGAAUUCCACGUGUAGCGGUGAAAUGCGUAGAGAUGUGGAGGAACACCAGUGGCGAAGGCGGCUCUCUGGUCUGUAACUGACGCUGAGGCGCGAAAGCGUGGGGAGCGAACAGGAUUAGAUACCCUGGUAGUCCACGCCGUAAACGAUGAGUGCUAAGUGUUAGAGGGUUUCCGCCCUUUAGUGCUGCAGCAAACGCAUUAAGCACUCCGCCUGGGGAGUACGGCCGCAAGGCUGAAACUCAAAGGAAUUGACGGGGGCCCGCACAAGCGGUGGAGCAUGUGGUUUAAUUCGAAGCAACGCGAAGAACCUUACCAGGUCUUGACAUCCUCUGCCAAUCCUGGAGACAGGASGUUCCCCUUCGGGGGACAGAGUGACAGGUGGUGCAUGGUUGUCGUCAGCUCGUGUCGUGAGAUGUUGGGUUAAGUCCCGCAACGAGCGCAACCCUUGAUCUUAGUUGCCAGCAUUSAGUUGGGCACUCUAAGGUGACUGCCGGUGACAAACCGGAGGAAGGUGGGGAUGACGUCAAAUCAUCAUGCCCCUUAUGACCUGGGCUACACACGUGCUACAAUGGAUGGGUACAAAGGGCGGCGAAACCGCGAGGURGAGCGAAUCCCAUAAAACCAUUCUCAGUUCGGAUUGCAGGCUGCAACUCGCCUGCAUGAAGCCGGAAUCGCUAGUAAUCGCGGAUCAGCAUGCCGCGG